CUAAUCUGUGUUACAAACAGGUGCUGAAAAAUGUACAUUAUCAGAAAAUAAUCAUUAAAUGUGUUUUAAAGUUACACCGGAUCAAUUAAAUCCAAAACAUGCACUGCUGGUGAACUGUGAUCAAAAUGUCAAUUUCCUACAAUGACAAAAGAAAUUACAUUGUGUGCAUUCCGUCUCUAUACAUGUUGUCUGUUCAACGUCCCCACCUAAAGAGAAAUAAAAAGACUAAGUUUUCGUUAUUAUAAACCCAAGUCACGUGAUGUCUCCUCAAUCUGGCGCGCGCUGUACCUAAAAUAAAAUAAAAACUUUCCAAACUAAACAUGAAACUUCUCCGGUAACAAUAAUAUAGACCCCAUACAGAAACAAACAAACAAACAAACAAACAAACAAACAACCCCCCUCCCCAUUCAAUCAAUUUCAAGUGGGGGAAGACCGCCUACAAUUGCUUUUUAAAAGCAAUUGAUUUAUAUUUUUUUUU
rnacentral:lncRNA from 1 species